rfam:Chaetura pelagica isolate M959 contig7877, whole genome shotgun sequence.
GUAGCCUGUUGUCAAUGAUGGAUUCUUGUUGAAGCUGAAUGUAACUGAUUUGAGUCAACAUUUCGUCACUACCACUGAGACAACAGUUAC